rnacentral:lncRNA from 1 species
UUAGGUAAGUCAAUUAGUGAUGUACACCUGCAAAAGAAACUUGUAUUGAGUGAAGUAACUGAAGGUAGCAGAUCAAAAACAAAAAAAAAGAUGACAAAUGAUACGAGAGAACAUGAUACCCUGCAAAAAAAAAAAAAAAUUAAAAAUCUCACCAUAAAAAAAAAAAAAAAGAAGAGAAAAAGCAAACUUACAUUGAUCAAUUUUCUGCGAGCUUCUUGAAGCUCAUUAUUCUGAUUAUGCACCUUUA